rnacentral:rRNA from 1 species
AUUGAACGCUGGCGGCAUGCUUUACACAUGCAAGUCGAACGGCAGCGCGGGCUUCGGCCUGGCGGCGAGUGGCGAACGGGUGAGUAAUGCAUCGGAACGUGCCCAGUAGUGGGGGAUAGCCCGGCGAAAGCCGGAUUAAUACCGCAUACGACCUGAGGGUGAAAGCGGGGGACCGAAAGGCCUCGCGCUAUUGGAGCGGCCGAUGUCGGAUUAGCUAGUUGGUGGGGUAAAGGCUUACCAAGGCGACGAUCCGUAGCUGGUCUGAGAGGACGACCAGCCACACUGGACCUGGGACGCGGCCCAGACCCCUACGGGAGGCAGGGGGGGGGAAUUUUGGAAAAUGGGGGCAACCCUGUCCCAGCCAUGCCGCGGGCGGGAAGAAGGCCUUCGGGUUGUAAACCGUUUUUGUUGGGGAAGAAAUCCUCUGGGCAAAAACCCCGGGGGGAGAGCGGUACCGAAAGAAUAAGCCCCGGCUAACUACGG